GUUGCGCCCGGCUCCCAUGCCGGGCGAGGAUUGAAAC
rfam:Moorella glycerini strain NMP genome assembly, contig: M_glycerini_NMP_DRAFT_scaffold-53